GACAAAAUGCCAGAAAGUUUAUAUGGGUGGGGUUUAGGACUCUAUUAUAGGAAUUUAGUCUUCCUUUUUGUUG
rnacentral:tRNA from 1 species